AUCCCAAAGAUGCUUGAGAGGAUUGGGAUCUGGAUAAUUAGUGAAGAGUCAACACUUUGAACUUGGCUAUGCAUCCCGAUUUGCACCAAACUGACACCCCUCCAUCAGAACCAGCAUCAACAUCUUUCUGCAGUUUGAGCUUCAGUAGUUUGGCUGUUGGAUUGGACCACAUUUAAAUACAUCAUACUUUGGCCCCCCAUGACCUUGUCAUCACAACAGAGGUUUUCCCUCCUUGGAUCAUGUCUAGAAGGUGCUCAUUUCUCCAGACUGGACAUUUAACAAUCAAUUUUUUGUCUUUGAGAUGCUCUGACCAUGUUGUUUAGCCUUUGUCAGAGCCACCCACAUAAGGAUGUUGUUAUGUUUUCUUUCUUCUAACACGUCAGCUUGGAGAACUAAUUGUUCCCUGAAUUCCUACAUCUCUCAUGAGCUGUCAGGUACCACUGUGAAAAGAAAAUCAAUGAUACUUAUGUCACCUGGCAGUGAUCAUAGCAUUAUAUCUGGGUAAGGUAAAAAGUAGCUUAUGCCUUUUAAAGAAAGUAUUUCAUUAUCACUUGAAGUGCAGAUGAGCAUUUUUAUUUGGGACAAUUGUAGCUUAUAAAAUCAUAACUUUGUCGCUGCUCUGAGUGUCAAGGAGAAGGCCACACAAGUCUGACUCAGAGUUUUUUCUUUUUCUAAACUUGAUUUCUUUCAUUUCAAUGCAAAAGGAAUUGCAACAGAAUGUAAGCUAGGAUAAAGCAGUAGCUGUUGUGGCACAGACAAAAAAGGCUUAAGUUCAUGACCAAACUUUUAAUACGAUGCUGCAGCCUACUUGUGAACUAGUGCACUAAAUUUGCAUGCAAAGGUGGGGGACCCUCACCUUGGGUGUCGAGCCUCCCUACAGAGCAACCAACGCCCCUGAAAGAAAGAAACAGAAUCAACCAACAAAACAACACAACACAACACAAUCCAGUUGAUAAGGCAGAGAACUCGAAAUGAUCAGAGCAAUUUACCUUGAAUGAAAGUAAACACUUGCUAAACUAAGGCAACCAAGCUGUAAAAUAACAGAGAUAUGGGGGCAAAACAGCAGUUAAUCCAUCUCAGGGCCAGCCAACCCAGUUACUGUGAAAGUGAUAUCUGUAAAUGAUGUUUAGAUUAGUCAAGACAUAGAAGCUUCUUUGAUAAAAGAAACCAACACGGCAUACCUAAAAAGCAUCACCAAACAGCCUCAGCAGCAGCAACAAGAGGCCAACUGAAGGCUUUUGUAGAGUGUAGAUAAGUGUGGGGCCUGGCUGCCACUCAUGCCAGACAAACAUCCAGCUUGGAUCAAUUAAGUUCAUCGCCAACAAGUCUACCUGGAAUCUGGGUGUCAUGUUUGAUGACCAGCAAACCUUUAAGGGUCAUGUGGCUUUGAUUGCUUGAUCACGUAGAUCUGCAGUUUAAAAUCUAGAUCAAACAAUACCUGGCAAAGCAUGCAAUAACCUGUGGCUGCUAUUUACUUCUCUCUACAAAUUCCUGUUGCCACCAAAAGCCUACUUCUCAGAUACAAAGCAGUGACAAAAAAUGGCUCCUACCUGCCUGGAGUCCCUCACCCACCUCUACACUCCCUCUUGCACUAAGCUCUGCCAACAAAAGGUGCCUGGUGCCUUCAUAAGAAGUGGUCAAUUGCCGAUAGCGAGAUUCUUCUCAUCUGUUGUCCCCAGUUGUGGACAACAACUGUUAGAGACCACAUGCAACCUGCAGAGUCUUAGUCUACAUUUAAGAGAGUCUAAGACCCAGCUCUCAGUAAACAAUGGCAUUGAUGAUAGUAUUAAGGUUUCAUUAGGACAGUGUUGUUUUCCCCCUUUUUUCCACGAUGAAACAUAAGUCUUAAAUGAUUAAAAUGUGACAAGACGAAUGUGUGUUUAUGUUGACGAGACUAGACGAAAACGUUGUGGUGGACGACGAACAGAGUUGCAAAAUUCAUAGGCAUUUUGUCAGUCAAAUGCUAAACAUAUAUUCUGCAGAGUUGUUUUCGUUGGCUUAAUGUUGUUUUCGUUGGCUUAAUGUUGUUUUUGUUGGCUUAAUGUUGUUGCUGUUGCUUUGGUUAAGAUUUAUUUUAAAAUUCUGCUCCGAUACACCCUGUGCAUUGCCUCUACCACUGCAUCUACUCAGCACAUGUGUCUAACUGGAUUGAAGGCAGUUUGUAGCACCUAUUCAUGUUUCCUCCUGUCUAGACCCUUGCUUGUGUUGUACUUACUCUCUUUUGUGCAUCAAUUUGAAACAAAGUGUGAUUGAAAUUAUAACAUUGUCCUGAAGGGGAACCUUCCCAAAAGGGUAAAUAAAGUUGUAUCUAUUCUGAAUACUAUCGGCCAAUGUCUUUAACUACCACCAUUGUCAUAAAUCUCCAGUAACCUCUGAUAACAAGCUCAGCUACAGCCACUUAUAAAAGAAACCACCAGUCUUGCCUUCCUUCCUCAUUAAAGAAGGUGGCCUCCAUAACCUCAAACUCGAAGGCCAUUACCAGCAAUUUACAGUUAACUUCAUCUGCAGCCUUUGACAGCAAAACUGCACACCAGUGCACUGUGAAAGAAACUUCUGUCUUCUGACUGAAGCUUCUGCGAACGACCUUAAACCUCAACCUUAAGGGAUAUUUUAGUAAUUUUGAUGUGUUCUAGUCACAGUGGAUGCUGGUCUGCCAAAAUCAGGCAUCACUUUUCCAUCAGAAGCCUUUUUUUUUUGCAUCAUUGGUGGAUUCAACACACAAAAGUGCUCCUCUGCAUACAGCACACUGAGCUGUUCCAACAGCAGACUUUAAAGAGACAAAAUACAAUAAUCCACCAUGGAUACAUCUGGAGACCUAGCCUAUAUGGAGCAGGGUUUACAGAGGAAAGAGGUGUCUCAAUUCUUUAAAGGAAAGAGCAGGGAAACCUUUGUACAAACUCGAGAGUGUGAGAGAUCCCUUGUAUCCUGCUGGAGCAGCUGUGUCAAUUACAAGCAAAUGCUUGGGAACACAGACAAUGUAGGGGUUUGUGGUCCUAAGCAUUUGGAACACAGACACUUUCAUUGGCAUUUAACAGCACAAUGACACAACACAUGGUCCAUGGAUUAAAAAAUACACUGUGUUUGCUGCUGAAGUAAAGGACUGAGCUAAAAACUUGGGACAAAUUAUUGUGUUUAACAAUUGAUCUUACACAUCAAGUUUAACAUCAUACAAAACUGAGAUGCAAAAAUAUCAAAGUUCACAAUAUGUCAGUCUCUCCUACAUCAUUGACUGGAUUAGCUGAU